rnacentral:snRNA from 1 species
GGUUGUGAGGGUGAUCUGAAUAUGAUAUCUGUCAUCCUAUUGAUUGCCAGGGCUGGUCUGGCUGCUUAGAUGGUGUCCCCUUUCUCUCUCAUUGUUUCAUGUGAACUCUUCUAAAGCUGUGUGCUCAGUGGAAGAAGAUGACCAUCCCAGAUAAGAAUGUGUCNUUCUUUGGUCAAGAAUAUAUACUUUGUUCAUUGCGUAUACUUUGGGUCCAACCACACUAAAGGUUUAAAUCAGUGGCUACUAGAAUAGAUGCCUUGGUACGGCCUCCAGGU